rnacentral:rRNA from 1 species
UAUUGGACAAUGGGCGAAAGCCUGAUCCAGCGACGCCGCGUGGGUGAAGAAGGCCUGCGGGUUGUAAAGCCCUUUCGGUAGGGAAGAAAAGCCUCGACCUAACACGUCGGGGUAUUGACGUAACCUACUAAAGAAGCCCCGGCUAACUCCGUGCCAGCAGCCGCGGUAAGACGGAGGGGGCUAGCGUUGUUCGGAAUUACUGGGCGUAAAGCGCACGUAGGCGGUGGUUCAAGUUGGGGGUGAAAUCCCGGGGCUCAACCCCGGAAUUGCCUCCAAGACUGGAUUGCUGGAGUCCGGAAGAGGAGAGCGGAAUUCCCAGUGUAGAGGUGAAAUUCGUAGAUAUUGGGAAGAACACCAGUGGCGAAGGCGGCUCUCUGGUCCGGGACUGACGCUGAGGUGCGAAAGCGUGGGGAGCAAAC